ensembl:snRNA U6 U6 spliceosomal RNA
GCUGCCUGGUACUCGCAUGUACUGAAACAGGAACGACACAGAGAAGAUUAGCGUGGCCCCUGAGCAAGGAUGACACACGAACUCGAGAAGUGUUCCAUAUGAAA